CUUCUGUCUCUGCUUUGACCGGUGAAAGUCAGUGAGACUGACAAGAGAGCAAACAAGCCAAGAAUCAGUGCUACAAUGAUCAAGAGCAGGACGCCAGUGAAUGCUGCCGCACUCAAGCAAAUCGAGGUCAGAUCCCAGAUCUGGUCCCUGCAGUGAAGAUGAGGAUCGUGCUCUGUGGAGAAACAGUUACCAAAGACGGAAGAGCAUCAUCUCAGCAGGCAUGCAGAGAAAUCCCAACACCCAACUCCACCAGUGGACUUUCAUCCUGCAAGAUGAGCUGCAGGCAAGAUGAACACAGACUGACUGACAAGGAUGUGACACUGACUCUG